rnacentral:rRNA from 1 species
CAUGCAAGUCGAACGGGAUUUAGUAGACAGAAACCUCGGUGGAAGAUUACUAAUGAGAGUGGCGAACGGGUGAGUAACGCGUGAGCAACCUGCCUAUGACAGUGGGAUAGCCUCGGGAAACCGGGAUUAAUACCGCAUAAAAUCGUAGAAACACAUGUUUCAACGGUCAAAGAUUUAUCGGUCAUAGAUGGGCUCGCGUCUGAUUAGCUAGUUGGUGAGAUAACAGCCCACCAAGGCGACGAUCAGUAGCCGGUCUGAGAGGAUGAACGGCCACAUUGGAACUGAGACACGGUCCAAACUCCUACGGGAGGCAGCAGUGGGGAAUAUUGCACAAUGGGGGAAACCCUGAUGCAGCGACGCCGCGUGAACGAAGAAGGUAUUCGUAUCGUAAAGUUCUGUCCUAUGGGAAGAUAAUGACAGUACCAUAGAAGAAAGCUCCGGCUAAAUACGUGCCAGCAGCCGCGGUAAUACGUAUGGAGCGAGCGUUGUCCGGAAUUAUUGGGCGUAAAGGGUACGCA